AGCGAACGCUGGCGGCAGGCUUAACACAUGCAAGUCGAACGCCCCGUAAGGGGAGUGGCAGACGGGUGAGUAACACGUGGGAACGUACCCUUUGGUUCGGAAUAACUUGGGGAAACUCAAGCUAAUACCGGAUAAGCCCUUAUGGGGAAAGGUUUACUGCCGAAGGAUCGGCCCGCGUCUGAUUAGCUAGUUGGUGAGGUAAUGGCUCACCAAGGCGACGAUCAGUAGCUGGUCUGAGAGGAUGAUCAGCCACACUGGGACUGAGACACGGCCCAGACUCCGACGGGAGGCAGCAGUGGGGAAUAUUGGACAAUGGGGGCAACCCUGAUCCAGCCAUGCCGCGUGAGUGAUGAAGGCCUUAGGGUUGUAAAGCUCUUUUACCCGGGACGAUAAUGACUGUACCGGGAGAAUAAGCCCCGGCUAACUUCGUGCCAGCCGCCGCAGUAA
rnacentral:rRNA from 1 species